UACGGAGGGUGCAAGCGUUGUCCGGAUUUAUUGGGCUUAAAGGGUGCGUAGGCGGUCUUUUAAGUCAGUGGUGAAAUCCUGCAGCUCAACUGUAGAAUUGCCAUUGAUACUGAAAGACUUGAGUACAGACGAGGUAGGCGGAAUUUAUGGUGUAGCGGUGAAAUGCAUAGAUACCAUAAAGAACACCUAUUGCGAAGGCAGCUUACUAGGCUGUAACUGACGCUGAGGCACGAAAGUGUGGGGAUCAAACAGG
rnacentral:rRNA from 1 species